rnacentral:rRNA from 1 species
AGAGUUUGAUCCUGGCUCAGGACGAACGCUGGCGGUGCGCUUAAUGCAUGCAAGUCGAACGGGCAAAGGGGCUUCGGCCUCGGCGCUAGUGGCAGACGGCUGAGUAACACGUAAGUGAUCUGCCCCGGAGAGGGGGAUAAUCCGGAGAAAUCCGGCCUAAUACCCCGUACGUUCAUAUGGUUACGGCCGUAUGAAGAAAGGUUUCGACCGCUCUGGGAGGAGCUUGCGGCCUAUCAGGUAGUUGGCGGGGUAAUGGCCCACCAAGCCUAAGACGGGUAACCGAUGUGAGAGCAUGAUCGGUCAGAGGGGGACUGAGACACGGCCCCCACUCCUACGGGAGGCAGCAGCAGGGAAUCUUGCGCAAUGGGCGAAAGCCUGACGCAGCGACACCGCGUGGGGGAAGAAGGCUUUAGGGUUGUAAACCCCUUUUCUGUGGGAAGAGAUAGGACGGUACCACAGGAAUAAGCAUCGGCUAACUACGUGCCAGCAGCCGCGGUAAUACGUAGGAUGCAAGCGUUGUCCGGAUUUACUGGGCGUAAAGGGUGUGUAGGCGGCAUGUUAAGUCUCAUGUGAAAUCUCCCGGCUCAACUGGGAGCGGUCAUGGGAAACUGGCAAGCUUGAGGGCAGCAGAGGAAAGCGGAAUUCCGGGAGUAGUGGUGGAAUGCGUAGAUACCCGGAGGAACACCAGAGGCGAAGGCGGCUUUCUGGGCUGUACCUGACGCUGAGACACGAAAGCGUGGGGAGCAAACCGGAUUAGAUACCCGGGUAGUCCACGCCCUAAACGAUGGAUACUAGAUAUAGGGGGUAUCGACCCCUCCUGUGUCGGAGUUAACGCGAUAAGUUCUCCGCCUGGGGAGUACGGCCGCAAGGCUAAAACUCAAAGGAAUUGACGGGGGCCCGCACAAGCGGUGGAGCAUGUGGUUUAAUUCGAUGCAACGCGAAGAACCUUACCUGCCCUUGACAUCCUCGGAAUCCUCUGGAGACGGAGGAGUGCCCUUCGGGGCCCGUGUGACAGGUGCUGCAUGGCUGUCGUAGCUCGUG